UCCUAGUACGAGAGGACCGGAGUGGACGCAUCACUGGUGUUCGGGUUGUCAUGCCAAUGGCACUGCCCGGUAGCUAAAUGCGGAAGAGAUAAGUGCUGAAAGCAUCUAAGCACGAAACUUGCCCCGAGAUGAGUUCUCCCUGAGACUUWRAGUCUCCUGAAGGAACGUUGAAGACGACGACGUUGAUAGGCCGGGUGUGUAAGCGCAGCGAUGCGUUGAGCUAACCGGUACUAAUGAACCGUGAGGCUUAACCUU
rnacentral:rRNA from 1 species